rnacentral:misc_RNA from 1 species
AAGACUAUAGACCUGCGGAGUACCUGCGGAGGGAUCAUUACAAAAAAGAGAGUGAAAACUCCCUAAACCCACUGUGAACCUACCUCAGUCGACGUUCUUCGGCAGGCGGCCCCGGGGGGGUCGUGACCCGCCUUCGGGCGGGUGCCUGCCGGAGAGCAAACACCAAACUCUUGUUGUUUCUGUACUGUCUGAGUUCUAUAAAAAAAAAUAAAUCAAAACUUUCAACAACGGAUCUCUAGA